UAAUACGACUCACUAUAGGGCCGAAUUUGGGGCCCGACGUCGCAUGCUCCCGGCCCGCCAUGGCGGCCGCGGGAAUUCGAUUAGAGUUUGAUCAUGGCUCAGGAUGAACGCUAGCGGCAGGCUUAACACAUGCAAGUCGAGGGGUAACAGGGAUUGCUUGCAAUCCGCUGACGACCGGCGCACGGGUGCGUAACGCGUAUGCAACCUACCUUCUACAGGGGGAUAGUCAAUAGAAAUGUUGAAUAAUACCCCAUACGAUCAUUAAUCUGCAUGGAUUGAUGAAGAAAGUUCCGGCGGUAGAAGAUGGGCAUGCGUCCUAUUAGUUAGUUGGUAAGGUAACGGCUUACCAAGACAUCGAUAGGUAGGGGUCCUGAGAGGGAGAUCCCCCACACUGGUACUGAGACACGGACCAGACUCCUACGGGAGGCAGCAGUGAGGAAUAUUGGACAAUGGAGGCAACUCUGAUCCAGCCAUGCCGCGUGCAGGAAGACUGCCCUAUGGGUUGUAAACUGCUUUUAUACAGGAAGAAUAGUACCUACGUGUAGGUAUUUGACGGUACUGUACGAAUAAGGAUCGGCUAACUCCGUGCCAGCAGCCGCGGUAAUACGGAGGAUCCAAGCGUUAUCCGGAAUCAUUGGGUUUAAAGGGUCCGUAGGCGGUCUGAUAAGUCAGAGGUGAAAUCCUGCAGCUCAACUGUAGCAUUGCCUUUGAUACUGUUAGACUUGAGUUAUUGUGAAGUAGUUAGAAUGUGUGGUGUAGCGGUGAAAUGCAUAGAUAUCACACAGAAUACCGAUUGCGAAGGCAGAUUACUAACAAUAUACUGACGCUGAGGGACGAAAGCGUGGGUAGCGAACAGGAUUAGAUACCCUGGUAGUCCACGCCGUAAACGAUGGAUACUAGCUGUUCGAUCAACAUUGGUUGGUUGAGUGGCUAAGCGAAAGUGAUA
rnacentral:rRNA from 1 species